GCGUUGAUGGUGUAGUGGUAGCACACUCGCUCUGUAUGCGCUGCCGCCCGUAGCGGUGGCAUCUUGCGACAACCCAGGUUCGAUUCCUGGUCAACGCC